rnacentral:lncRNA from 1 species
ACUGUAGCCCGCCAGGCUCCUCUGUCCUUGGGGAUUCUCCAGGCAAGAAUACUGGAGUGGGUUGUCAUAUCCCACUCCAGGGAAUCUUCUCAACCCAGGGAUCAAACCCAGGUCUCUGCCUUUGUAGGAGGAUUCUUUACCAUCUGAGCCACCAAGGAAGCCCAAGAAUACUGGAAUGGGUUGCCAAGCUGUAUCUAGGCAUUCUGUAUCAUCCCAGUACAAAGCCUGAAAUGCAGAUUUUGUCAUGAAAUAAGCUAGAGCCAUCCAUGCAGACGAGCAGGGAAAUGGAACUCCCACCUCAUCAGGAAUAGAAGAUUCACCACUGAGUGUUCUGACCUGGAUUUUUGUCCAUCUUCUAAAGUAG